rnacentral:rRNA from 1 species
GAUGAACGCUGGCGGCGUGCCUAAUACAUGCAAGUCGAGCGAACGGACGAGAAGCUUGCUUCUCUGAUGUUAGCGGCGGACGGGUGAGUAACACGUGGAUAACCUACCUAUAAGACUGGGAUAACUUCGGGAAACCGGAGCUAAUACCGGAUAAUAUUUUGAACCGCAUGGUUCAAAAGUGAAAGACGGUCUUGCUGUCACUUAUAGAUGGAUCCGCGCUGCAUUAGCUAGUUGGUAAGGUAACGGCUUACCAAGGCAACGAUGCAUAGCCGACCUGAGAGGUUGAUCGGCCCACCGGAACUGGAGACCGGUUCCGGACCCUAAGGGGAGGCAGAAGAAGGAAAUCUUCGGCAAGGGGCGAAGCCUUACGGGGGCAACGCGGCUGGGGUAAGGAAGUUCUCCGAUUCGUAAAACUUUGUUAUUAGGAAAAAAAAUAUGUGUAAUUACUGUGCACAUCUUGACGGUACCUAAUCAGAAAGCCACGGCUAACUACGUG